rnacentral:rRNA from 1 species
AACGUGGGAAACCUACCUCUUAGCAGGGGAUAACAUUUGGAAACAGAUGCUAAUACCGUAUAACAAUGACAACCGCAUGGUUGUUAUUUAAAAGAUGGUUCUGCUAUCACUAAGAGAUGGUCCCGCGGUGCAUUAGCUAGUUGGUAAGGUAAUGGCUUACCAAGGCGAUGAUGCAUAGCCGAGUUGAGAGACUGAUCGGCCACAAUGGGACUGAGACACGGCCCAUACUCCUACGGGAGGCAGCAG